AUGGGCUGUUCCUGGGGCCCUGCUGCUCUGUGCAACCUCAGAACAUGGCUCCUUUUGUCUCAGCUGCUCCAGCUCCAGUCAUGGCUAAAAGGAGCUAAGGUACAGCUCAGACCCUUGCUUCAGAGUGUGUAAACUCCAAGCUUUGGCAGCUUCCACAUGGUGUUGGGCCUGUGGGUGCACAGAGGGCAACAGUGGAGACUUGAGACCUCUGCCUUAAUUUCAGAGGAUGUAUGGAAACACCUAGAUGUCCAGGCAGAAUUCUGCUGCAGGGGCAGAGCCCAAAUGGAGAACCUCUAUUAGAACAGUGAGGAGGGCAAAUGUGAGGUUGGAGCCCCCAUACAUAAUCCCCACUGGGGCACUGCCUAGUGGAGCUGUGAGAAGAAGACUACCAUCCUCCAGAACCCAGAAUGGUAGAUCCACUUGCAAACAGCUUGCACCGUGAGCCUGGAAAAGUUGCAGGCACUCAAUGCCAGCCCUUGAGAGCAGCCAUGGGAGCUGAGCCUUGCAGAACCACAGGGGCAGAGCUGUCCAAGGCCUUGGGAGUCCACCCCUUGCAUCAGUGUGGCCUGGAUGUGAGACAUGGAGUCAAAGGAAAUUAUUUUGGAGCUUUAAGAUUUAACAACUGCCCUGCUGGGCUUUGGACUUGCAUCUGACCUUUAGCCCCUUGGUUUUGGCCAAUUUCUUCCUUUUGGAAAGGGAGUAUUUACCCAAUGCCUGUACUCACAUUUUAUCUUGAAAGUAACUAACUUGUUUUUUAUUUUAUAGGCUUAUAGGCAGAAGGGACUUGCCUUGUCUCAAAUGAGACUUUGGACUUGGACUUUUGAGUUAAUGGUAUAAUGAGUUAAGACUUUGGGGGACUGUUGGGAAGGCAUGAUUAUGUUUUGAAAUGUGAAAAGGACAUGAGAUUUGGGAAGAGCCAGGACAGGAUGAUAUAAUUUGGCUCUGUGUCCCCACGCAAGUCUCAUGUCAAUUUGUGGUUCCCAGUGAUGGAUGAGGGGCCUGGUGGGAGGUAAUUGAAUCAUGGAAGCAGACUUAUUCUUUGUUGUGCCUUAUGAUUGAUUUGUCAUGCGAUUGGUUGUUUGAGAAGUGUGUGGCAUUUCCCCACCUACCCCCACCUCCUGUCCACCACGUAAGAUCCGUUUGCUUCUCCUUUACCUUCUGCUAUGAUUGUAAGUUUCCUAAGGCCUCCCCAGCCAUGCUUUCUGUAGAGGCUGUAAAACCGUGAGUUGAUUAAACCUCUUUUCUUCAUAAAUUACCCAGUCUCAGGUAUGUCUUUAUGGCAGUGUGAGAACAGACUAAUACAGAUAUCUGUUCAUAUUUUUGUAGCUCUUUUUCUGUAAAGCUUUCUUCUCUUCAGAACUCUAGCACAAAACUUCCAACCACCUCAGCUUUAUUGAACUCCAGUAUCAAAAACUCAUCAAGACCACUGCAUACUUAUCAUGAUCUCCUUCCCUGUGUUGUAGUCUAGAAUGUUUUUCAAGAAAGACAGGACACUCAUAGGAAUCAUCUUUUUUGUUUCUCUUCUCUCAGGUAUUACAUUUAUGCACUGUCUGCUGCCAAAGAUCUGAAACCAAUGAUCUCAUAUAUAUGAGUGUGUACUAGUCUCAGUAAGUCAAUGGGUUUCCCUGGAUCCAGGCUUGGAGAAAAUGUUUUCUCUUCUCUAUCUGCAAUUCUCCUGAACCAAUUCUGACGGAUAAUAUGACUGUGUCAACCACAAAAGAGGAAAAGAAUGGGCUUUAAAUCCCGCCUUUACAGCCAUCCAAGGCAGCUCCUUCUUCAAAGGAUGGAACUUUAAGGAUGGAACCAAUUGGCUACAAAUCAUUUUAGCUGAUGCACUGAGACAAUUCUGAAGCAAACUGUCUUAUCCUGGAUUUUGUCAGUAACUGGAGUUGAAGGACUUGAAGAUUCUCAAGGAUUGAUCCAGAAUAUGUUCCAGCAAAAACUACAGCAGAGUAACUUUGACAAGAAAAAUGUUCACUUGCUACCUAAGGAGAGUCUCUGUCUCCUGACCUCUGAAUUUCGAAAUCCUCAGCUCUGGCUGCCACGCAGUGGGAACCGAAUGAGUAUGUACUGAAUGGCGAAUCCUAGUUCAGUCACUUGACUAGCUGGGUGACCUUGAGCAAGUAACUUAGCUUCUUGAAGCCUCAGUCUCCUUAUCUAUAAAAUGGGACUCAAAGGCUGAGUCGAGUAUUAAAUGAAAUAAUACACGUAAAGCACAGUGCCAAAAAUCUGGUAAUAACUCCAUCAGUAUAAGGCCACCUUAUUUGCCUUCUUUCACAAUUAUCACCAGAAUUGAAUUAAAAUUCAGAUGUGAUCAUGUCUUGAAAUGUAGAAAGAGUUAUGAAAAUGUAAGACUUACUAAGUUCACUUAUCGAACAUUUUUUGACCACCUACUAUGUGCUAUGCCUUGGACUAGGCUAGAGAUACAACAGUAAACAUCUUGACUAACGGAGAUUAUGCUGCUAUCUUGAAAUUUUGCCUGUUCCCAAAAGCCCCCAGCAUAUUAAUUUUGUUAAAUAUAUAUUCCCUUAUUAUAUAUAUAAAACAUAUAUAUCCU
rnacentral:lncRNA from 10 species